rnacentral:lncRNA from 1 species
GAAAGGACAAAACUCGUCCAGCAGAACAAUAUGUGAAUUUUGUCCAAUUUGAGUCAGAAAAUGACCUUCGUGAAACUGCUUUGGCUCCACUGUCACUUAGCGAGGCUUUAGUGAUCAGACGGCCUGAUUUCAUCCAGCGCUCGCAAGCCAGAGUUCGAGCCCUGGAGAGGAGGUCGCAGGAGAGGCAGAGCUCCCACAGCUCACCGCAGACACCUGAGAGCGGAGAAAGCCUUGUGAAAUCCAGAAGCAUCAUGGGAAAGAGUCUACAGCUGUGGUCCAGGAGAAACUUCUGGAGAAGAUUUUGCAGAGAGGAGGAAAUCACUGACACUGCCUUGGACCCGUGUUUCUUCUCACUCCGCAGUUCUCAUGCCGUCCCUUGAAAAAUAUGACAUGACAUUAGUUAGAAAUAUUAUGGAAUAGUUCCUUUCAGAAUGAAUGUGCCUUAAACAUGGACUGCAGCCUUAUUUCUGUGGCUCUGGAUUACAUCUUCUCUCUCUAUACAUACACUACCGGUCAAAUGUUUGGAAUAAUUUUUUAAUGUUAAGUCUCUUAUGUUCCGC